GUUAUUAAUUAACUUCGAAUCGCAAUUUGAUAUUCCACCACCAAUCUUUAAUUUUAUCCGAGGGAAAGGGAAAAAGUUCGAAAAAAACCCUAUUUAUUUUAGAGAACAAGGUUCGGGGGUUAGUUAUACGAAGGGAAGGUAUUAGCACCCUAAGUAUCUAUAGUACUCUAUAGGAACCUCUUGUUUUUAUUCUAUCUACGCGCUUUAUUUUAAUUGCUUUUGAAAAAAAACGUAUGAGAAUUAAAGUGAUAAUGAAAAAUGCUUAAAGAGAGAAAAAAAAAAAAGGGAAAAUGUUUUUGUUGAUUUUAUUUGAUUGGAGAGACAAGUCUCAUGCCUACGUACCCGAGGG
rnacentral:lncRNA from 1 species